rnacentral:tRNA from 1 species
UCCGGGGUAGCUCAGUUGGCAGAGCAGCGGACUGUUAAUCCGCGUGUCGUGGGUUCGAGCCCCACCCCCGGAG